AACGCACCUUGCACUCUCUGGUAUUCCGGAGAGUACGCCUGUUCGAGUGUCAUGAAACUCUCAAUCAAAUAUGGCUUUCUUGCUGUCUUUGCUUGGAUUUGGACUCUGCUGUGUUAAGCGGCUGGUCCUAAAUAUAUUAGCUGGUUCUUAUGAUAGGAUCUGGUUCUACUUGGCGUGAUAAUUAUCUAACGUUGAGGACAGUCUUAGGACUGGCCAGAGCUUAUAUUUGGAUUGCUUCUAAUUGUCCUUAGACAAUGAUCAUUCAAUAUCUGACCUCGAAUCAGGUGGGAUUACCCGCUGAACUUAA
rnacentral:misc_RNA from 1 species